rnacentral:rRNA from 1 species
AAGUAACAUAAACCUUUCAAGUAAACUAAUUUAGUUUGGCGGCAUUUCAUCAUAUUAAAGGAAUUUGUCCUUUAAUCGAUAAUCCCCGUUAAAUUUAACUUAUUUUAAAAAUUUAUAUACCGCCAUCUCAAGAAUUAACUUAAAAAUAUUCCUCUUAAUAAAAAAUAAAAAGUUAGGUCAAGGUGUAGUUAAUAAAUAAGAAUGAGAUGAAUUACAUUAAAUAAUAUUUAAGAAUUAUUUUUUCAAAACUAAACAUGAAAAAGGAUUUAAAUGUAAUAUUAAAAUAAAAUUUUAAUAUGAAUUAGAUAAUAAAUGUGC